AGAUUCGUUAGCCGUGGUAGGCAAUUCACCUAGGAGAGCAAACUCCGAACAAUAAACCCGGGCAGGUUGGGCUCGUGAGCCGUCAUAGGUAAUACACCUAGGAGAGCAAACUCCGAACAAUAAACCCGGGCAGGUGGAGCUCGUCAGCCGUGGUAGGCAGUCUGCCUAGGAGAGCAAACUCCGAACAAUAAACCGGGGCUUGUGGUGCUCGUUAGAUGUCGUAGACAAUCCACGUGAUGGGAACACCAAAGAAAAGGAAAAUAAAAAGGAACACCUGAAAAAGGAAAAUAUAGUAACAAAACAUCAAGAAAAUAAAAUAAAAAAACACAGAUCAUCCACCUUCAGGCCCUAACAUCUCCAAAAUUAUGGAUGAGUCUUUUCUGGGGAGAAAGAGGCUCAUCCAGACCAAGGAACAUCAAAAAGGGAUGAUAUAGAAAGGAACACCAAAAAAAUGGGAAAAAGAGCAAAAAAACAUCGCAAAAGAAAAGUAACAACAAUAACAGAACAACAUCAAGAAAAGUAACAUACAAAGAAACAUCAUCCACCAUUCGGCCCCAAACUAACAUCACCAAAAUUAUGGGUGGGUCUCUUCUGGGAGGAAAGCGGCUCACCCAGACCAACGAAGAACAUCAACAAGAGGAUGAUAUGAAAUAAAAGAACAUUAAAAAACACGAAGAAAAGAAAUAAGAAGAAAAAGAACAGAAAAAAACAUCGGAAAAGAAAAACAAGAAGAAAAACACAUCAAGAGAAGAAAAAUAUAAGAAACAUCAUCCACCUUUCGGCCCCUAACUAACAUCACCAAAAUUAUGGGUGGGUCUCUUCUGGGAGGAAAGCGGCUCACCCAGACCAACGAACAUCAACAAGAGGAUGAUAUGAAAUAAAAGAACAUCAAAAAAGAAAAACAACAGCAAGAAAACAAAGAAAAAGAUAAAGAAAAGAAAAGGAAAAAGAAACAAAAAGAAAAAGAAAAACACCAAAAUAAAAUAAAACAAAAACAAAAAAAUAAUCCAAAUAAAUAAAUAAAUAAAUAAACAAAUACAGAA